UACGAAGGGGGCUAGCGUUGUUCGGAAUUACUGGGCGUAAAGCGCACGUAGGCGGGCGAUUAAGUCAGGGGUGAAAUCCCGGAGCUCAACUCCGGAACUGCCUUUGAUACUGGUCGUCUAGAGAUCGGAAGAGGUGAGUGGAAUUCCCAGUGUAGAGGUGAAAUUCGUAGAUAUUGGGAAGAACACCAGUGGCGAAGGCGGCUCACUGGUCCGAUACUGACGCUGAGGUGCGAAAGCGUGGGGAGCAACAGGG
rnacentral:rRNA from 1 species